rnacentral:pre_miRNA from 1 species
UAACCUCCACAGGCUGGCCGGCCCCCAGACUGGGUUGGGCAAGUAUCUCUUUGAAAGGUUUAUCCUCAUGCAUCACUAAGAGC